GUCUGGUGCCAGCAGCCGCGGUAAUUCCAGCUCCAAUAGCGUAUAUUAAACUUGUUGCAGUUAAAAAGCUCGUAGUUGUAUUUCAGCCUCGCGUUUUUUCCCUUUUGUUGGGUCUUUUCGCUGGCUUUUUUUUUACUUUGAGAAAAUUAGAGUGUUUCAAGCAGACUUUUGUCUUGAAUACUUCAGCAUGGAAUAAUAGAGUAGGACCUUGGUUCUAUUUUGUUGGUUUUGAGCCUUGGUAAUGGUUAAUAGGAACGGUUGGGGGCAUUCGUAUUUAACUGUCAGAGGUGAAAUUCUUAGAUUUGUUAAAGACGAACCACUGCGAAAGCAUUUGCCAAGGACGUUUUCAUUAAUCAAGAACGAAAGUUAGGGGAUCGAAGACGAUCAGAUACCGUCGUAGUCCUAACCAUAAACUAA
rnacentral:rRNA from 1 species